GGCCAUUUAGCUCAGUUGGUUAGAGCAUGGGGCUGGUAACCCCAAGGUCUCAUGUUCGAUCCCUGUACCAGCCA